rnacentral:rRNA from 1 species
GAUGAACGCUGGCGGCGUGCCUAAUACAUGCAAGUCGAGCGAAGCGGGGACGGGUGAGUAACACGUGGAUAACUUCCUAUAAGACUGGGAUAACUUCGGGAAACCUGAGUUAAACCGGAUACUUAUAGUAGGAUACGCGCUGCAUUAGCGAGUUGGUAAGGUAACGGCUUACCAAGGCAACGAUGCAUAGCCGACCUAAGAGGGUGAUCGGACAUACUGUAACUGAGAAGCGGUCCAGACUCCUACGGGAGGAAGCAGUAGGGAAGCUUCCGCAAUGGGCGAAAGCCUGACGGAGAAACGCCGCGUGAGUGAUGAAGGUCUUCGGAUCGUAAAACUCUGUUAUUAGGGAAGCGGUACCUAAUCAGAAAGCCACGGCUAACUCCGUGCCAGCAGCCGCGGUAAUUC